GAUGAACGCUGGCGGCGUGCCUAAUACAUGCAAGUCGAGCAAACAGAUGAGGAGCUUGCUCCUCUGACGUUAGCGGCGGACGGGUGAGUAACACGUGGAUAACCUACCUAUAAGACUGGGAUAACUUCGGGAAACCGGAGCUAAUACCGGAUAAUAUAUUGAACCGCAUGGUUCAAUAGUGGAAGACGGUUUUGCUGUCACUUAUAGAUGGAUCCGCGCCGCAUUAGCUAGUUGGUAAGGUAACGGCUUACCAAGGCAACGAUGCGUAGCCGACCUGAGAGGGUGAUCGGCCACACUGGAACUGAGACACGGUCCAGACUCCUACGGGAGGCAGCAGUAGGGAAUCUUCCGCAAUGGGCGAAAGCCUGACGGAGCAACGCCGCGUGAGUGAUGAAGGUCUUCGGAUCGUAAAACUCUGUUAUUAGGGAAGAACAAAUGUGUAAGUAACUAUGCACGUCUUGACGGUACCUAAUCAGAAAGCCACGGCUAACUACGUG
rnacentral:rRNA from 1 species